CAAGAUCAACCCUGAUGCAUCUACAAAGUCAAAGAAGUUGAUAAGGUAAAAUAUUCAACAUAUUGUCUUCAUACUGUUUUCAAUCAAAAAGGAUAAGCAUAUGAUCACAUUCUGUUUUAUUUACUCAUUUGUAAAUGAGUAUAAAGCAAUUGGCUCAGUGAGAUCUCUAUGAUUAUUCUUAUCUGCUUCUUGAAAACUGGUAAUGUAAUUAAGAGCAAGACACUGAUGCUAAUUAACCUUGGUUGAGGUGAAGGAGCUGGGAGCUGCUGUUGUUUUAACUAGUAAACUAGUAUGUCUCAGCAGUGAUUAAUCAUCUGAGGCCUCCGGUCUGUCAGUAAACAGGGAGAAGGACACCUUGGGGGAGGGCGUGCUGAUACGGGUAUGGUACAGGAAAAAGCAGGUAUGAGCUAGUGGAAAGAAAUUCUGCUUUGGGCUUGUUCUGCCCCAUGGGGGGGUUUUCAACACUGAUAGCUUGAUGGGGUUCCAGCCUCCUCACAGAAAUGUCAAGCAGAGGGCAUCUGAGGAAUUAAUUUAAACACAUGUGCAGGGUGUAUCCCAAAGCGCCUUGGUGAUGUAAUUACAUGUUUUCUCAUUAUUCAUAUGCAGACAGUUGUGCAGAUGGCAUUUCUCACAACAAGGUUUGAAACAGUGGAGACCUGUGGUGACAUGGUUCCUCCCUCUUCAUACUAUAAAUAGAACACGAAUAGCACUCACAUGUCUGAACAGAAACAAAUCAAUGCAUUGUGUAUUCUCCUAAAGGUCUCUGUUGUGUGGUGUCCCUGUGAACACGUUACAGUGCAAGAUAGUUGCAAAGAUAAUUGCAUUUUCCCAUGUUUUUACUUUUCUGAACAAAACUUCAACAAUUUGUGCGCUUCCUGUCAUCAGAUGGUGGCCCUGCCUUGACAAAAGAAGGACUUCUGUCAAUGCCAUGGGUGAAGAAGUCAUGAAAGAAUGUUAGCAGCAUGCAACUGGAAGUCCUCUGUACAUGUAACUUAUGUGAAGUAGUCACUCAGAAAUAAUUCAUAUCAGUAAUAACAGAAGCACUUUAACUGGCAGUUUUACACUAUUUGUCAUUGUGUUUUGAUGUAUGUACAUUUGGUGUUGUUUUCAUUUAUUCAGACAGAACCUGAGUACCCUGUAUGAGAUUAACUAGAACCUAUGCCUACAGUCCCACCCAUCAGGUCAUCACCACGGUGCACCUUGAUGUCAUAACACUUCCUUCAAUUGAAAAGAAACUCAUGUUAAAUGCACUUCAUGAAAACAUCUUGCCCACUGUCAUCAGGAUGGCUAACUACUUGUUUUCUAAGCAGUCUCCUAAAUCCACUCUUGUAUUUGUGUUAAUCUGUAAAGUCUUUAUUAAACUGAAGUUUAGCUAUAGCAUUGGAGAAACCACUGUAUCCUUCUAUUGUCUCAUGACAAACUUUUAAGUGGGAAAAAAGUUAAGUGUUUCAGAGUUUAUAUUUUAAUUGGAUAAUUGAUCUAGAACAGGUCUCAAGCUUUCACCAGUGCUGUGUGAGGUAUAAUCCUGACCAACGAGAACGAUAAGAAUGGAGACCAAAGUUUCAGCAGAAACAAAUAAAUAGCUUCAAAAGGAUUCAGGCUGUUAUAUUAGAGUGCAAGCAUGCAAACUAAAUGGUGCGUUCAGACUCCUGGAGCGUGGGACCAUCAGAGGCCUUGCAGCACAAUCUCAUUAUAAACAUCCCUCUGUUUAUUCUCUAAACUGAGGGGGCUAUUAUCAAGCAUGUGGCAUGUUGUCACCCUCAUCCACACCAGAGAUGAGCCUGUUUCCUCCUGUCUGAAGCUGUGCCCAUGUCAUAUGCUGAGCGCACGAGUGACAGGCCAUCACUCUUCAUCUCCAGCAAACCAGGGCCAGAUAGGAGUUUGGAAUAGGUGUCGCUGUUACCACUUUUGUCAAUCAUGACAGCCUCUACAGCGCCUUAAUGCAGCACAGAUGGUGUUUUGGUGCAUGUCCCCGUUUGUCACUGAAAUAGCAGAGUGACAGGGUCUUUGCCCAUGUGAGGCCACAGAAUGUUUGAAGCUAAAUGCAUGUUACUGGCUGAGAUCCCAGCCAUAAUGCUGAAAAACCCAUACAACAUAACAUAAAUAAACAUAAUGAGCUGUGUCUGUUCACAAAUAAUAUAUUCAAAUAUAUUCUAGACUUCCAUUGUACAUUUAAGUUGUCCGUGUUGGUAAUUUUUCUGUUAUGAUCUAUGUUAAAAUCAUCUGAUGAUGAGUUUCUCUCUUUCUGAUUGCUGUAUUUUGUAUUUUAUUUAUAUCCAAAACAACUUUAAUUCUACCGUGCAUAUCAGUUAGACUAAUUUUCUCACAAGAAAAGCUGCUUAAAUGAACAUUUCUGGAGCUUCACUGGAAAAAAAACUUUGCGGUUUUCUCCUAAACAAUUGAAAAAGCUUGAUCAGAAUAAUCCAAGUGUCCAUCCCAAUGAUUUGAUUUGUUAAGAUGAAAUCUCCACUACAGACGCUAGCUGGGUGAGUGAGCUUGAAUGCAUUGAGGUAUGCAAAGAUCACAAGCUCUUUGAUUUUGUUUGGUAGUGCAUCUACAUGUAUUCAAGCUGCAGAAAUACUCUGGGAACUAAGAAACUUUACCCAACUUUCUAUCAGCACCAGAUUGAGUAUACUGAAUGAACUGUCAUUUUUGGGUACACUGUGCCAAAGACUCUCUACUCCAUCACCAAAUUGUCUGUACAGUCAUGACAGGGAGAGGACUGAUUGAAAGAGGAUUUAAAUGAGCAAAUGUGAUUCAUCCAGAUGUGUAAACAGCUCCAAACCCUCUUACAUUAUAUGAUAAUGGAUUCUUACUCAUCCCAUCAUGUAAUGUAACCCUAAUAAAAAUAACGAAACGUGCAUGUGAAUGCCCUGGGCACAUUAGGCAUUGCACACCAAAAAUAACACCUCAUAAUCUCUGUUCACCUUAGUUUUGACAUUUUAUUAUAGAACAUGAUGUGAAAAUUCUACCAAAUCAACCAAAAUAAUCAUGACAAUACAACAAAGCAUGCUGGUUGGAGUGUAAUUUUACCUUUACUAAAUAUUACAGGACAAAUGUAAUGCUAAAAAAGUGUCAAUUAAAGAAG